UACGUAGAUGGCAAGCGUUGUCCGGAGUUAUUGGGCGUAAAGCGCGCGCAGGCGGUUGGAUAAGUCCAUGGUGAAAGCGCCUGGCUCAACUAGGCGAGUGCCGUGGGGACUGUUCAGCUGGAGUGGAGCAGAGGCGAGUGGAAUUCCGGGUGUAGUGGUGAAAUGCGUAGAGAUCCGGAGGAACACCAGAGGCGAAGGCGGCUCGCUGGGCUUUGACUGACGCUGAGGCGCGAAAGCGUGGGGAGCGAACCGG
rnacentral:rRNA from 1 species